rnacentral:lncRNA from 1 species
GAAUCAAUUGAACUUUUGGUAACUUAUCAAAAUUGAAAACGGGGUUUAACUUGCAACGAAUUAACGAAAACCUCAGUUCACUAAAUGCACCAUUAUGUGACACGAGUUCACAUGCAGUGGUCCUUCACAAUCAAUGACAAUUGAAAUAAGAAUUUUUGCCUUACGCUUCCACCUUUUUAAGAAUGGCUUUUAGUAGUGCAAUAGAAUAAUACAUAGAGGUGGAAUUAACAUGUGAUUUAGUAAAACCCAUCCACACAAUCCUGUUACUCCCUUCACAGCGAGAUUUCCAUUUCCAUUUACCACUUCCUUUUUCAUAUUCACCCCUAGUUCUCUCAUCUUUCCAAUCCCUCUUUUCUUUGAUCUCUUACCAAUAAACUUUUUAUGUCUCACUGCUUUCUCCUUACUUUAUUUUUUUUUCCAAUAUUUUUUGUGUCAACCUCUCUAUCGCAGCAAUUAGAAUUCUUGAGGGCAAUGGAUACACUAGAAAUAUAAAAGAUGAAUUAUAUUGAUAAUAAUUAGGUUUAAACUUACAAAGAAGCUAACUCUCUCUAUAUAUAGAGAGAAACCACAUAGACUUUAUAUCUAAGCUAUGUGGGACUAAACUACACACCUAAAGCCUACAAUACCUUUACUUCCAACACUCCCCCUCAAGCUAAACAUUCAGACUCUGAAUUUUAGCUUGAAAUACAAAGAAGUUCUCUCACAUCCCCCACAAAGUAUCUUGAGAACAACACCGGGAAGGAUAUUCAAUGGCAGGGAUGACCAGCUGCGAGAAGAACCGUCUGCAGGGAUGUCCAGCUGCAGAGACAAUACAGGAGCAAGGAUUACCAGCUGCUCAACCAAGAAAGACGCCAGAGGUAGUGGUGGUGACUAGGGUCAUGUUCUUUUCGGUGGCUAGGGUUUACUUUCCACAAAGCAUCCGAUAAAACUUCAAAAACCAAUAAAGAUGAGGUACUCCAGGACGAAAGAAGGCUGAUUUUGGAGUAAUAAAGCCGUUGAAAGGGCUGAACACGGAUGGCAGCGCAGAAGAUUCAGUGGUGGCAGUGCAGAAAAAGCCCUAGAGAAGUAGUGAGAGGGUCGGACAAUAAUGGCGCAUGAAAUCAACAACGCAAACAAGGCCCUCGAAAAGGCUGGACAAGAGCGGCGCACUAUGGCAACAACGCAUUUAAGGCCCUAGAAAGGGUUUGACAAGCCGCGCAUGACAUCAACAACGCAAACAAAACCCUAGAAAGGGUUGGACCAAGAGUGGCACAUACCAACAACGCAUGACGCAUACCAACCAUAGUACAAAAUAUCGCGAUAUAUCCCGAUAUAUAUCGGUUUUUGGAAAAAAACGAUACGAUACAUUCCCGAUAUUUACCCCUUGAUGUUAUAUUUUCCGAUAUUUUCGAUAUUUACCGAUAUUUUCCGACAUUUUCUGGAAAUAUUAUUUUGUUGCAAUUUAUUUUUUUGGGAAAUAAUUUGUUUAUUCCAUUUUUAAUAGAUAUGAUGUUUUUUAGGUAGAUACUAUGAUAAUAUACUUCUAAUUUUGAUUUUAUAUAUAUUUUAUAUAACAAAUUAAUAUAUUAGUCGAUACAUUCCAUGUAAAAUAUCCACCGAUAGAUUCCAAUAUAUCCCGAUAUAUCUAUUUUUUGGAGAUCGAUACAUUAAUCAAUAUCGAUAUUUUGUACUAUGAUACCAACAACAGGAAGAUCAAUCCUGAAUAAAAAAGGAAAGAAAAUUUUUGGAUGAACAGUGAUAUAUGAACAGUGCCGAUGAACAGUGUGUUGUGAACAGUAUCACGGUGAAUACCCUGAACAGUGAUCUGUGAACAGUACAUAUGAUGAACAGUACCUGUGAAUAGUACUCAGGAAAAAAAAACAGCAGCACAAGGCGCAGAAAGACAGCGGAAACAAGAAUAAAUCUGACCUUUGACGAAACUCCGGCCACCGGCACCUCGCCGGCGGCCGAAAACCAAGACCUACCUUGGCUUUGAUACCAACUAGAUAUAUAAAAGAUGAAUUAUAUUGAUAAUAAUUAGGUUUAAACUUACAAAGAAGCUAAAUCUCUAUAUAUAGAGAGAGAAACCACAUAGACUUUAUAUCUAAGCUAUGUGGGACUAAACUACACACCUAAAGCCUACAAUACCCUUACUUCCAACAGAUACAACAAGUUUAUUUUCUUUCUUUUCAGAUUUUGCUAUUUUGUUUCCUGGCAUAUUCCUUUUCUACUUCGGCUAUGAAAUGUAUUUUAUGAACUUCAAAUAAACAAAGAUAUUCAAAAGAC